AGAUUGAACGCUGGCGGCGUGCCUUACACAUGCAAGUCGAACGGUAGAGUAGCAAUACUUGAGAGUGGCGAACGGGCGAGUAAUAUAUCGGAACGUGCCCAGUCGUGGGGGAUAACGUAGAGAAAUUUACGCUAAUACCGCAUACGAUCUAAGGAUGAAAGCGGGGGACCGUAAGGCCUCGCGCGAUUGGAGCGGCUGAUAUCAGAUUAGGUUGUUGGUGAGGUAAAAGCUCACCAAGCCGACGAUCUGUAGCUGGUUUGAGAGAACGACCAGCCACACUGGGACUGAGACACGGCCCAGACUCCUACGGGAGGCAGCAGUGGGAAUUUGGACAAUGGGCGAAAGCCUGAUCCAGCAAUGCCGCGUGCAGGAAGAAGGCCUUCGGGUGUAAACUGCUUUUGUACGGAACGAACGGUCUAGCUUUAAUACAGUAGGACUAAUGAACGGUACCGUAAGAAUAAGCACCGGCUAACUACGU
rnacentral:rRNA from 1 species